UGAAUCGAGGCCAUAUGGGAAGGUUGCUAUGGGCGGGAGCCAAGAGCUUUCAGAGACUAGGAUCAACCAAUAUAUAGAAACGGAGGCAGUAGCACUCAAUUGGGCAGUUCAAACGAUGCGAAGUCUAGGGUACAAGCAGGUAAUCUACGAAACUGACUCUUUGUUGUUGCCAAAAAUGAUGGCAGGAAGUGAAAAGAUAUGGCCAAAACUUAAACCGAUCAUCCAAGACCCAACCCAAUCACUUUCUGAAUUGCCAGGCUCCAUUGUGUAGUACUAUCCUAUGAGAGAGUAACAAAGUAGGCUUUUCAUCAAUGUUUUUAAAUCCGAUCCGAACACUGAACGGACAACUUACACUAGAUCGUCGAUGGCUGGUGAACCACAAGUUAAUAAAUUAAUUAAUUUUAUUAUAUAAUAAUAUAUUAACUAGAAACUAAAGUUUAAUAUUUUCUAAAUAUUUUUUUAAAACAUAAAAUAAUAGUUUGGAUAUGUAUAUUAUUUAUGUUUAAAAAAUACUUAACUUCAGUUUUUAUAUUUAUAAUUUCAUUUGACAUACAAAAUAUCAAAAAAUAGUUUAUACUAUUUAAAAUUUUCUGUAAAAAGGUAAGAGUUAUGAAAUUUUAAAAAAUCAAGGCAUAAAAUUCAUAAAUAUUUAAAUGCCUAAUGUGAAUAAUAAAUUAAAUUUCAAAUCCAAAAUAAACAAAAACAAAGAUAAAAUUGAUGUUUGCGGAUGCGGGUGAUUGCGGUUUCUAGCGGUUUUAAGAGAUUUGUACGAUUCGUUCUGCGGUUAGAAAUUGAUGCAUUUGCGGGAUACUUAUGAGUGAUUAACUACCAAAUACAGCAGCAGUUAAAUAAUAAAUUAAAAAUAUUUAUAUUUUAUAUAAUUAUAGAAAUAUCAAAAAUCAUAAUAUUACAAUAAAUGUAAAAUUAUAUCUAGAAAGUUAUAGUUUUAAAUUUUAAAAAAUUAUAGAAAAUAUUUUUAUUUUCAAAAAUUAUAAUAUUAAUUAAAAUAAAUAGAUAUAUUUUAGUAUUUUUAUAAUUCUAAUUUAAAUUUAUUAUUGAAUAUUUUUAUUUUUGAAUUUAUGAGGUUUAAAGCGGUUUAUAGCGAUUUUGAAGCUGUUUAGAGUGAUUUGAGUUAUUGUUGCAAAACGCCAACAACCGCUACCAACUGCCCGCUACCAAAUCGCUCUAAACCGCUCUAAACCUCAUAAAUUCAAAAGCUGGUUCCAACUAGCGUUUGCAGUUGCGGAAGGAUUUUUUUUCUUUAAAAAAACCAAUAUAAAUACCAAAAUAAAAAUAUUCAAUUAAAAUUUUAAAUUGGAAUUAUAAAAAUACUAAAGUAUAUCUACUAUAUUUUAAUUAAUAUUAUAAAUUUUAUAAAUAAAAAUAACUUCUAUAGUUUCUUUCUUAAUAUAAUUUUUAUAUUUAUUAUAAUAUUAUGAUUUUUGAUAUUUUAUAAUUAUAUAAAAUAUAAAUAUUGCUAAUUUAUUAUUUACCUGCAAACACACAAAUUUCUAACCACAGAACCAGUCGUACGAAUAUAUUAAAACCGCUAGAAACCACAACUGUCCGCAUCCGCAAACUCACGUAACCGCAACUGUUGCGUUUGAACCAUUCAUGCCCUUAGUGUAUGUGUUGGGUUUUCUUCAGUUAAAUUAACAUUUUCAAUAAACCAAAUAUAAUAAUUUUGUCUUCCCGUUGUAAACGCAAUUGUUCUUUUGGUAAAAUGCAAUAUUUUGUUUCCCGUCAAAACUCAUAAUCUCGAUUAAAAAAAGACAAAAUCUCAUUUCCUAUCAAGAACACAAAUUUUCGUUUUUUCAUCAAAAACACAAAAAUUUCAUUUCCGCCAAAAAACGCAAAACAUGUUUUUGCCCAAAAAAAGCAAAAUUUCAUUUUCCCUCCAAAAAAAUGCAAAAUCAUGUUCUUUAACCAAGAAUGCAAAAUCUCAUUUUCCCUCCAAAAAGGCGAAAUCAUUUUUUUUUCCAAAACAUAAAAUUAUAUUUUUCGGUCAAAAUGCAAAAUCCCGUUUCUUCACCAAAAACACAAAAUUCUGAUUUUCCACUAAAACACAAAACUUUAUUUUCUCCCCAAAAACGCGAAAUCACGUUUUCUGCGAAAACGAAACAUAAAAUCUCGUUUUCCUGUCAAAAACAUGAAAUUAUAUUUUCCACCAAAAAUGAGAAAUCCCGUUUUUUCCGCCAAUAACACGAAAUCUCAUUUUCCGCCAAAAACGCGAAAUCUCAUCUUCACGCCAAAACAUGAAAUUUUAUUUCCCACAAAAAAAGCAAAACCUGGUUUUCGCCAAAAUGCAUAAUUCCGGUUUCCCGCCAAAAAUGUAAAAUCUCAUUUUUCGCCAAAAAUUCAACAUUUGGUUUUCUCGCCAAAAAUAUAAAAUCAUGUUUUCCGCCAAAAACGUAAGAUUUUGUUUGUCACAAAAAUGCAAAUUUUAUUUUUCCUACUAAAAACAUAAAAUCUUAUUUUUCGUCGUAAAUAAGUAAACUAAUAUUUAUAUAUGUAAUUUAAUAUAAAAUUAACAAACUAUAUUAAAGUAUUAGGAUAUCCGCAAGUUACCUAAAAUCAGAGGGUUGAUUUCGGGUUAUCCUAACACUGUAGGGUUUUAUUCGGGGUUUUUAUGGGCGGGCUUUUUCGGGUUAGGUGGAGCAGGGGUCUUUUACCCGUGACAACGUCCCUAGAAAUGAUGCCUUACGUUGUGUCAUAAAGUAUUAGAAAUGGCUGGUCCCAUGCGUAGAAACUAGAAAGAGAUUAAAGCCUUGUUUGAACUCUUUUUAAUUAUAAGAAAAUGAUCAUUAAUUGAUAUUAGGUCGGAAAUUUGGCUUCAUUUUACGAAAGUUCACAUACUUAACAAAAAAAAAAUUCAUCUGUCGAAAAAUAUAGUAUCAAAACACGAUUCAUGUAAUCCUAUUCAUAAUCUAUAUGACCCCAAGUUAGUUUCAUCAAUCUUUGCCCAACCUUAUAAAAUUAAUGAUCACAGAGUCAUCGUAAUAUUUUUUUGAAAUCUUAAAUGAUAUAUAACAGAGAUACACUAAUUCACUUCUCACCAAUUUUUGGUUUUAGGUUAGACAUAUCUAAAUUUACCGCAGAGAUAUAUGAUGUUAGUGAUUAAAUCAGAUAUCAAAAGGAUAUGAAACGCAACGGCUAUAUAUGUUCUUCUACUUUUUGGAACCACAAUCACUGUACAUUCAAUAUAUCUUCUACAAUACCAACGAUGAAUUUAGAUUGUGGAGUUAAAAAAUUUAUUUGAUAGUCUUAGGUUUAAGCAAGAAAAAAACACAUCCGUCUUAUUUGUCAACUCUUCAACUAUAUAUUUCCACUAAAAUACAAUAUAAUUGGUUCAAAACUAGAAAAUCAGGUACAUCAACCUCAAAUUUCUAGUAGUUCAAAUGUGAGAUAUAUUAAUACUCAAAGAGGUAGGAAUGCACCGUUAAAGAAAAUGGAUAGUCAUGAAGAUAAUGAUUGAUUUGAGUUAAACUUUGGUAUAUAUAUUUUUUUGGUUUAGUGGAUUCUAUAUGAUGUUGUUAUGAUUAUAUGUCAAUAGGUCUGUAACUGUCUUGAGCUCUUCAAAUCAUCAAAUACAAACAAUAUGCCAGUCUUGUCUCCGGGAGGUGGGUGCUCUUUCAGAUCCACCAUCGUCGGUCUAGUCUCCGGGGGGUGAAGGCUUUCACAGUCUUGCGUCGCCGGCUUUAGGUUUUGCUUCGUUUAGUUGGUUCGGCUCUGGUCCUGGUGAUGUUUUUUGAGAGUGUGUGGGUUGGCUCUUGGUUCGAAGUGGUCUGCGGUGGGAUCUGUCGGUUGAGCUCUCGAUUGGAUCGAUGAGGCUCUCCGAAGGUUUGACAAAGCGGGGAAGAGAUGAAGUGGUCUCGUGGGUGGCCCUUUGGUGUUUCUGAGUUCGAGGUCGGGGGUGGUGAAACUCCGGCGAUGCUUCGACACGGUGGCGGUCAAGUCGAGACGGAAGUGGCGCGUGGCGUGCUGAUGGGUCCUUAUCCUUCCACGCGUCCGGUUUCCUUGAUACGCAGUCCGACUGAAAUCGAGCGAGUUGGGUUUGGGCCUCAGACGGGUUAAGGUUGUAAUAGUGGCCCAUUAGAAGCGGGUUUGGGUUUGGGUUUGUUGUAUGGUUGGGCCUAGGGCCCUUGUUGGGUUUUAACUCUUUUAAAUAAAAAAUAAAUUGGCGGGAAAAAAAAAAAAAACAAUAUGCCAUCUCUUCUUAUUUCCUCCUCAUGAGCUCCCAUCUCUUCUUAUAUAUAUAUAUAUAUAUAUUAUGCUUGC
rnacentral:lncRNA from 1 species